rnacentral:rRNA from 1 species
UACGGGGGGGGCAAGCGUUGUUCGGAAUUACUGGGCGUAAAGGGCUCGUAGGUGGCCAACUAAGUCGGACGUGAAAUCCCUCAGCUUAACUGGGGAACUGCGUCCGAUACUGGAUGGCUUGAGUUUGGGAGAGGGAUGCGGAAUUCCAGGUGUAGCGGUGAAAUGCGUAGAUAUCUGGAGGAACACCGGUGGCGAAGGCGGCAUCCUGGACCAACACUGACACUGAGGAGCGAAAGCGUGGGGAGCGAACGGG